AGAUGCACUACCAUCGGAGGCGCAGGUGUAAGCCUUCUGGAAAGAAGCACCAAUUAGGGUGAGAGUCCCGUUCGUCACCUGUAGCCCUCCGUGUCCGGUGUGCUUUCUCUGAGUCACGCUCCUCGGAACUGGAACGCAAAAUGGGUGGUAAAUUUCAUCUCAAACUCAAUACAGGGUUGAGUCCGAUAGCAAACAAGUACCAUGAGGGAAAGGUGAAAAGGACUUUGAAAAGAGAGUUAAAAGUGCCUGAAAUCGCUGGAAAGGAAGCGAAUGGAGUCAGCCUCGCUUGGCGAAAUCUUCGGCGCGCUGGCGCGAGUGCUUGCUGUCUCAGCGCAAGCGAGGCAGCAGCUCUGAACGUCGUGUGCGCUGUGUCUUUGGCCUUGUGCGUCAAUGCCAGUCCGCAAAUGGUGAAAUCCUGAGGGACAUGGCAACUCUUCGUGAGGAGUGAAUGUGCCUCAUGGAACUCAUUUGCGAACUGAUUGGUGGAUGUCUGGUUGCAGUGCCCUGCGGUUCCUGCCUCUGGUGGAACGUGGGCUCUCCCUGACAUUCCAACAAAGACCAAAUGGUUCCAUUCGACCCGUCUUGAAACACGGACCAAGGAGUCUAACAUAUGUGCAAGUCCAGGGGUGGUAAACCUCCG
rnacentral:rRNA from 1 species